GACCUUCUCUUCACAAACAGAGAAGGACUGCGAAUUAACCUGUAACUAUGGGAAUGGAGGCUGCCAACACACCUGUGAUGACACUGAUACUGGUCCUGUAUGUGGUUGUCAUCAGAAGUAUGCCUUACAUUCAGAUGGCCGAACCUGCAUUGAGAAGGAUGAGGCUGCAAUUGAGAGUUCUGAGUACAAUGCCACGUCAGUAGCUGAUGUGGACAAGCGGGUGAAACGGCGGCUACUUAUGGGUAACACUUUUCUUCCACUUCCUUUGUUGUGCUCUCACUAUUGUCUGUAUGUGCGUGUGGGGGGAGGUUCUCUUUUGGUCUCAUUUGGUCCUUUUGGUUUUGGUUUGUUUUUUUUGUUUGUUUGUUUUUUUAGCUGACUUUAUCUGCGUUGAAAGGUCACCAAUUUUGUUAAGUUCUCAUCUGUUGUACUACUUCAUUUCUCUUUUUUAAGCUUUUUUUUCCUAAUGCUGAAGCAUUAAUGUUCAAUUUCUUCUGCCUAGAAAGAAGCUUUUGCCAUUAACCUUACUUACCUUAUGCAAACUACUUCUUACAUGUGAAUUGUUUGUGUUUGUGUGUAUGUGUUGCUCUAAGAAUCCUAAAAAAUCUCAUGUUGCAGACUUGCCUUUUGACUUAAAAGUGGAUGAUGAUGAUAUAAAACAAUGUUCUAUUACUUAUGUGGUGUUAAAUGAACAACUGAAUUUGCCUACUUCUGAUAAAAAUGUAAAUAUUAUGGCUGGAAAUUGAUUUAUUUCCUUUGUGUAGCUAUGUUAGUAAUUGCUGAAAGAUUUUUCUCUAGUGACUGGUGAGCUUCCUUAUGUUCUUCUUUCAAGACUAAAGCAUGGCUUGUUUCUCUGUAUUGUUGGAGCCUGAGAGUGGAAGAGAUGAGGAAAUGCAUUGGACAAUGAAGAUAAUUCUUUAGUUUCUCACUUAACCCAUUGCUCACCUUUGUGCUGGUCUUCUUAUGUUACUUUUAUGGCCAUUAGUGAGAACGACCUUUUGAUAACUUGACAGGGUAGUGACUGGAUCUCUACCAGAUUAUUUUCAUGUGACAAAUGGCACAGGGUAGCAUAGACUGCUGAAUGAUGCCAGCGGUUUGGAGGCUUCUAAGUGGUUUAUUGCUCUUUAUUUUCCAUUCUGAUGCCCUACACACCACAUACAAUAUUUCUAUUAGUUUUUAAGCAUAGCGAGCAUUGAUGAGAUACACCCAAUGAACCAUUUACAAGAUAGGGGUUCUUCA